rnacentral:lncRNA from 13 species
CUGCUGAUGUUAAUGCAUUGAAGCAUUACAUGGUCUCACUCGCUGUUGUUUUCCCCCAGUCUAUUUGUUAAGCUUCAGAUCCCUGAUGGAACUAUCAGUCUGCUGUCGGGAUGAUAUCUCUAUGCCGCUUUGAAGACUGCCAGCCUGCCUGUCUGUCUGAUGCUUCCACUCCCCCAGCCUGCUGAAAUGGAGUGGCGAAUGGGAACAGGGUCCGUGGGUUGGGAAAGGAAGGCACAUGAGGCUUGGAGAGUAGAGUGGGAGGUGUGGGGUGGGGUUGG